rnacentral:rRNA from 1 species
UACAGAGGUCUCAAGCGUUGUUCGGAUUCAUUGGGCGUAAAGGGUGCGUAGGCGGCGCGGUAAGUCGGGUGUGAAAUCUCGGGGCUUAACUCCGAAACUGCAUUCGAUACUGCCGUGCUUGAGGACUGGAGAGGAGACUGGAAUUUACGGUGUAGCGGUGAAAUGCGUAGAUAUCGUAAGGAAGACCAGUGGCGAAGGCGCCGCUCUGGGCCGUGACUGACGCUGAGGAGCGAAAGCGUGGGUAGCAAACAGG